UAUUUCCCAUUUUGUUCUCAAAACCCUCUCCCUUUCUCUGAAACCCUCCCAAAUUUUCAAUCCUCUCCAAUGGCGGCGACCGACGAACCCUCCGAUCACUCAUAGUUUCCAUCGUAUUCGGAGAUGAUAAUGGCAGCGCCGUCGGAGCCGGAGAAGUCUAAGUAGCGCUUGUAGUUGUCGUCGUCGCCAUCGUCUUCAUCUUCAGCGUCGCCGUUGGAGCUCAAAACGUAGUUCUUGACCUCAUCGAAGUUUGGGUUUGAUUUUCACUUGGUACAGUUCUUCUUUGCUUGCAUGCCUUCAUUAGCUGUUUAUCUAGUGGCUCAGUAUGCACGCUAUGAAAUCAGAAGGAUGGAAGCGGUAAUUGCUCUUCAAUUCUUUGGUAUCUUGUUUAUUGACUCACUUUGUUCUCCCUUUUUUUUGGCUUUUGUGUUCUAAUUCUAUAUAUCUCUCUUUGACACUUUUGUUUGAUCAAUUUAUGAGAUGCUGAAUUUUUGGAUAAUAAUUAGUUAGGAUGAUUGAAAAAAAACCUAGAAUUGGAAGGCAAGAUUUCCUUUGAUUGAACCAUGCAUUUUCUGGUAUGGCUUGUUAGCAAUCAGUCUCUUAUUCAUUCAUUUACAUUUCAAUAUGGUUCACCCUGUGGUGUGAAUUUCAUUUUUUGAAAGGAACUUUUCCUUCACAUAAAUUACUCAAAUAAUGAUGUUUUGUUUCUUUUCUUGCAGAGAAAGCCCUUGUGGAAUGUAUGUAUGAUCUUCGAUCUGAGCUGGAGAAAACUGCAUCUGAUGUUUCAGGCUUAUUUUCUGAAAUUGUUCAGUCAUUUAUUUAAUCUAAUAAAUAUGAGCGUAAAGAUAAGAUAAGAGGAUGGAAACAAGAUUCUCGUUCAGAAAUUCUAGUCUCAGUUGAUUCGGCAGCUGGAUAUGAUUCAUAAAACUGUCUUAGAUUCUGCAAUGCAACAUGAGACCCAUAUACAAGAAAUGGAAGAAGAAAUGAGAUCUUUUAUAUCUACAAAAUCUGAGGCCACAGAAGAGCUUAGAGGGAUGGUCAAAAAACUGCAAACCAUGUUCUGUUCUGGCAUUAGAACGUUGGAUGAUUUAGCUAGUGAACUUGACAAGAAAUCUCAAUCAACUUGUGAGAAACUGAACACUCAAGUGAACUUGCACUCCUCUGCACUUGAUGAUUCUAUUGCAGUAGUUGACCAUGGCUUACAUCAGUAUUCCAAAUACUGAAACAGACAAUGUGGUUGUCAUGCAUGCAGCUUUGGCAGCUAGAGGCGUUGCUACUACAGAAGGGCACGUACUUGAGCUACAGUCAAGCCUUGAGCUACACCAGUCAAAGCACUGAGCUAGAACCUUGUAGCACUGCGCCGAAGGGAACUAUGGGUAUGUUUGGUUGUCAAGAGUGAAUUGAGGGAGGAGUGAAUUGAGAGUAAUAUGUGGGGUAGUGGAGUAGGAGUGAGAAUGAAGAAUGUGUUUGGUUGGUAAGGAUUGGAAAAGUCAGUAAUU